AUGUUCAGUCCUACAAUUCUGGAAAGAACUAUACUUGUCUUGCAUGAUGUAGCUGUGAUUUCUCUUAUUUUCGCUCAUGCACCUGCUCUCUUGGCGCGGUGGUUCGGUGUCUGCAGCAACGUGUGGCCGAAGCUGAGACGGCCAUGGAUAAGGGAGCUCGAAGAACUCUGCGCACAACAGCACAAGUUGGAUCGGUCAGUGCAGCAAGGGACGAUGAAAUGGUUGGAAAAUAAAAGGCUGCCACGAGUGGAAGUGCGCACCUUGCCGAGAGCUGCUGCAAGGGGGGCGCUGGUGGCGCCGGCGCCGGCAGCGGCUUGCCGGAGAUUCGGCGAGUACGGCCUCAUCUGA
rnacentral:rRNA from 1 species